rnacentral:rRNA from 1 species
CACCGCGGUUAUACGAGUGAGCCCAAGUUGAUAAAAACCGGCGUAAAGGGUGGUUAAGAAUAUUGUUAAAUAAAGCCGAAAAUCUCUUACAGCUGUUAAAUGCCUGCAAGAAUAAUAAGCCCAAUUACGAAAGUAGCUUUAUAUUUUCUGACCCCACGAAAACUAGGGCA